rnacentral:rRNA from 1 species
UGCAGUCGAGCGGUAGCACAGAGGAGCUUGCUCCUUGGGUGACGAGCGGCGGACGGGUGAGUAAUGUCUGGGAAACUGCCUGAUGGAGGGGGAUAACUACUGGAAACGGUAGCUAAUACCGCAUAACCUCGCAAGAGCAAAGAGGGGGACCUUAGGGCCUCUCGCCAUCAGAUGUGCCCAGAUGGGAUUAGCUAGUAGGUGAGGUAAUGGCUCACCUAGGCGACGAUCCCUAGCUGGUCUGAGAGGAUGACCAGCCACACUGGAACUGAGACACGGUCCAGACUCCUACGGGAGGCAGCAGUGGGGAAUAUUGCACAAUGGGCGCAAGCCUGAUGCAGCCAUGCCGCGUGUGUGAAGAAGGCCUUCGGGUUGUAAAGCACUUUCAGCGAGGAGGAAGGCGGUAAGGUUAAUAACCUUAUCGAUUGACGUUACUCGCAGAAGAAGCACCGGCUAACUCCGUGCCAGCAGCCGCGGUAAUACGGAGGGUGCAAGCGUUAAUCGGAAUGACUGGGCGUAAAGCGCACGCAGGCGGUCUGUUAAGUUGGAUGUGAAAUCCCCGGGCUUAACCUGGGAACUGCAUUCAAAACUGACAGGCUAGAGUCUUGUAGAGGGGGGUAGAAUUCCAGGUGUAGCGGUGAAAUGCGUAGAGA